rnacentral:tmRNA from 1 species
GGGGGCGUACUGGUUUCGACGGGGGCGUGGAAGUGGGAAUAGCGGGCGGAUGCGCCUAACAUCCUUAAAAUGGGCAAAAAACAAUUAAACGCCAACAAUAACGUUGAGCUCGUCGCGGCUUAAGCCGUGACCGUUCCACCCGAGAG